rnacentral:rRNA from 1 species
GUGCCCAGGCGCGAAAACUUUACAAUGCCGGCAACGGCGAUUAGGGAACCUCGAGUGCCAGGUUACAAAUCUGGCUGUCGUGAUGCCUAAAAAGCAUUGCAUAGCAAGGGCCGGGCAAGACCGGUGCCAGCCGCCGCGGUAACACCGGCGGCUCGAGUGGUAACCGUUAUUAUUGGGUCUAAAGGGUCUGUAGCCGGCCGGGUAAGUCUCUUGGGAAAUCUGGCAGCUUAACUGUCAGGCUUUCAGGAGAUACUGCCUGGCUCGAGGCCGGGAGAGGUGAGAGGUACUUCAGGGGUAGGGGUGAAAUCUUGUAAUCCUUGAAGGACCACCAGUGGCGAAGGCGUCUCACCAGAACGGACCUGACGGCAAGGGACGAAAGCUAGGGGCACGAACCGGAUUAGAUACCCGGGUAGUCCUAGCCGUAAACGAUACUCGCUAGGUGUCGGCCACGGUGCGACCGUGGUCGGUGCCGUAGGGAAGCCGUGAAGCGAGCCACCUGGGAAGUACGGCCGCAAGGCUGAAACUUAAAGGAAUUGGCGGGGGAGCAC